UUCAAGACCUUGCUUCGUUAUUCUCUACUUGCAUGACGCUUCCAAAAGCUUUAUUGGCAAAUAUGCUCUGUAAAAGAAUGAUCAAUCCUGUUGCCUCUAAGUCAGUAGAAUGAAGAGCUGUGUCCAGGGACACACCACACCGUGCUGAAGGAGACUGCUGCUGUGUCCACCUCUUAUUCAUAGACCCAGUCAUGAGCACAAGACUUGUAGUCAACCAGUUCUUCAGGCUUAAACCGUAGGCUGAUUUCUUUUUCAGCAGUUUUUACUGAAUCACUGCCAUGAAUGAUGUUCCUGCCAACCUGAAUGCAAAAGUCCCCACGAAUGGUGCCUGGCUUAGAAUCUGCUGGAUUGGUCUCCCCAAGCAUCACUCGGCCUGUCUUCACGACGUUCAGCCCCUCCCAGACCAUGGCCACGACCGGCCCUGAGGUCAUGUACUUCACCAGCCCAGGGAAGACUGGGCGGUCCUUCAGGUCAAUGUAGUGCUGCUUCAGGUGUUCUUCAGAGGCCGGGAGGAACUUCAUGGCCACGAGGCGGAACCCCUUCUGCUCGAAGCGCUUGAUGAUCUUGCCCACCAGGCCGCACUGCAUGCUGUCCGGCCUGAUGGUGAUGAAGGUGCGCUCGAGGUUGGCCGUGGUCCGGGAAGCUGGAGGGGCCGGGCGGCGGCGCUGCGCUCCUCUCUUUCUUUUUUGGAACAAGGACUUGCUCUGUCACCCAGGCUGGAGUGUAAUGGUGUGAUCAUGGCUCACUGCAGCCUCCAACUCCUGGGCUCAAGCAAUCUUCCUUCCUCAACAUCCCCAGUACCUAGGACUACAGGUUGGCACCUCUACAGCUGGAUAAUUUUUUAAUGUUUUGUAGAGAUGGGCUGUUUUCCUGAACUCAAGUGAUCCUCCC
rnacentral:lncRNA from 1 species